rnacentral:rRNA from 1 species
CAGUCGCCGCGGUAAUACGUAGGUGGCAAGCGUUGUCCGGAGUUAUUGGGCGUAAAGGGCUCGCAGGCGGUUUCUUAAGUCUGAUGUGAAAGCCCCCGGCUCAACCGGGGAGGGUCAUUGGAAACUGGGAAACUUGAGUGCAGAAGAGGAGAGUGGAAUUCCACGUGUAGCGGUGAAAUGCGUAGAGAUGUGGAGGAACACCAGUGGCGAAGGCGACUCUCUGGUCUGUAACUGACGCUGAGGAGCGAAAGCGUGGGGAGCGAACAGGAUUAGAUACCCCUGUAGUCCCUGUCUCUUAUAC